rnacentral:rRNA from 1 species
AUUGUAGUCUGCAACCCGACUACAUGAAGCUGGAAUCGCUAGUAAUCGCGAAUCAGAAUGUCGCGGUGAAUACGUUCCCGGGUCUUGUACACACCGCCGUCACACCAUGGGAGUCGGAAAUGCCCGAAGUCAGUGACCCAACCGUAAGGAGGGAGCUGCCGAAGGUGGAGCCGGUAACUGGGGUGAAGUCGUAACAAGGUAAC